rnacentral:rRNA from 1 species
GACGAACGCUGGCGGCGUGCCUAAUACAUGCAAGUCGAACGCAGUUUCGAACGGGUGAGUAACGCGUAGGUAAAUGCCCCAUACCGGGGGAUAACAAUUGGAAACGAUAGCUAUUACAGCAUACUGUGAGCUGGACCUGCGUUGUAUUAUCUAGUUGGUGUGGUAAAGGCUCACCAAGGCGACGAUACAUAGCCGACCUGAGAGGGUGAUCGGCCACACUGGGACUGAGACACGGCCCAGACUCCUACGGGAGGUAGCAGUAGGGAAUCUUCGGCAAUGGACGGAAGUCUGACCGAGCAACGCCGCGUGAGUGAAGAAGGUUUUCGGAUCGUAAAGCUCUGUUGUUAGAGAAGCGGUAACUAAACAGAAAGGGACGGCUAACUACGUGCCAGCAGCCGCGGUAAUAC